UACGGAGGGUGCAAACGUUGCUCGGAAUCAUUGGGCGUAAAGCGCACGUAGGCGGCCUGGCAAGUCGGGCGUGAAAGCCCUGGGCUCAACCCAGGAAGUGCACUCGAAACUGCCAGGCUUGAAUAUGGAAGAGGGUCGCGGAAUUCCCGGUGUAGAGGUGAAAUUCGUAGAUAUCGGGAGGAACACCAGUGGCGAAGGCGGCGACCUGGGCCAAUAUUGACGCUGAGGUGCGAAAGCGUGGGGAGCAAACAGG
rnacentral:rRNA from 1 species